CAAAGAAUUAGUCCAGGCUACCAGCUACAAAGGGGCUGCAGACCCUGAACACCAGCUGCACAUACUUGACCGAAACUACUGACAUUGAUUUAGGGAACAAAUGUGAAAACACAACCUUGGACACAGUUCUCUCUGAUAUUUUCACUAUUUUAAAAUAUCUCAAACCCACAUGAUGUAAAUAUUCCUUCUUGUUAUAGCCUACUUUUAAUUCAUUUUUGAGAUAACUUGCAACCAGGCUUGCCUUUUUUUCUCCCUCUGUUUUCUCAGGGAAAGUAAAUCUGAAAGGGUGAAGUGCACUGAAGAAGGAACAUAAAUGUCCAAGGAACUUGAAGAAGUGCCUUCUCACACCUGGAAGAGCAACUUCCAGAAGCAGGCUAAUUCCUCAUGUGGUGCACUUCAGUAGCCCUGAAAUGCUGAGACAGACACUAUUUGAGACACCCAUGUGGCCACAGACUGGCACCUCAGCAAGGCAUGGAUUUGCCCUAGCCCUUAGGUCAUUCCCACAGUGCUAUAAGGCUGUUCCUGACACCCACGGCCAUCUCAGCUGUGAGAGGAGAUCUGGAGCCCAAGUAUAGAAGUAGAGAAGCUCUCAGCUGUUUGUAGCAUAUCUAGAAGCAGCCAAGCUCAGAAACAAACAUUUCUGAGCAGGAACAAGCAGAAAUGACUGUUUGCUACAGAUUAGGCUUUUUACUUUGCAGGUAUCUAUAACAUAUUACUUACCUUGUUAAACUGUACUUUGUGAAAAUUCUGCUCUGAGUCACUGAUUUAGCCUAAUAUACUUUAAAUGCUUCUCAAGUUCCGCAGCUUCCUUGAAGGAGACAGAAUAUUUACCUGCCUCAGAAAAAAAGGUUAUGAAGGAGAUCUUCAUGGCCACUGUGUGUUUAUUAAAAUAUCUAUCUUUUGACAUAGAUGUUAAAUUGUUAUUUGAAAUGGCAAAAUACAAAAAUAUUUAAGGAAGCCAUAGAUCCUUCCAACUGAUUGCUAGGGCAUCCUGACCGCAAAUCUGGAACUGCAAGAAACAAGUCAUAAACCUCUGGACCUUGGAAUUAAGAAAUCUGGCACAAAAAGGCAGAGCCUGUCACCCACGGUUAAAAGUUGUGCCUUUUUCACAAUUGUAUAUGCAGAAGCAAAACACUUUUUGUUGAAUAAACAUUGCUUACCUCAAGCA
rnacentral:lncRNA from 1 species